UAAUACGGAGGAUGCGAGCGUUAUCCGGAUUUAUUAGGUUUAAAGGGUGCGUAGGCUGAACAGUCAGUCAGUGGUGAAAUCCUGCGGCUUAACCGUAGAACUGCCAUUGAUACUACUGUUCUUGAGUACAGUUGAGGUAGGCGGAAUGUGUAGUGUAGCGGUGAAAUGCUUAGAUAUUACACAGAACACCGAUUGCGAAGGCAGCUUACUAAACUGUUACUGACGCUGAGGCACGAAAGCGUGGGGAGCGAACAGGAUUAGAUACCCUGGUAGUCCACGCCGUAAACGAUGAUCACUCGUUGUAUGCCUUUUUUGGUAUGCGACUGAGCGAAAGCAUUAAGUGAUCCACCUGGGGAGUACGUCGGCAACGAUG
rnacentral:rRNA from 1 species